UCAUGUUCCCAUUGGACCUAAUGCAAUGAGAGUUUGGGUGGUUGUUCCAAAGAAGCCUGAAAUGUUUUUGUGGAGGCAAACAAGUUUUAUGACUACUAUUGAUGAAGCUGUUGGAUCUACCGUUGCAUGGCCUGCUGACAAGGUUCUUAUGGAAUCUAACCCAGGGUUUAUGGGUUGAUAAAGAAGAGAGAAGGUUUUUUUGUGACUUUUUGUUGAAGAUCGAUAUAGGUAAGAUCUGCUAGUGCGCUGGUUCUCAUGAUCACUUGGAAGGACUGUUUUGGUUCGAAGCCUUUUUGUUAAUAUUUUGGUGCCAAGGUUUAAACUCCACUUUUGGAAUACAUAGAUGUUUCGGAAGGCCUUUUUGUUAAUAUUUUGGUGCCAAGGCUUAAACUCUACUUUUGGGAUACAUAGAU